rnacentral:rRNA from 1 species
CGGGUGAGUAACGCGUAGGCAACCUGCCCUUUGCAGAGGGAUAGCCUCGGGAAACCGGGAUUAAAACCUCAUAAUGCACAGUUUUGACAUCAUAGCUGUGCCAAAGAUUUACCGGCAAAGGAUGGGCCUGCGUCUGAUUAGUUAGUUGGUGGGGUAACGGCCUACCAAGGCAGUGAUCAGUAGCCGACCUGAGAGGGUGAUCGGCCACAUUGGAACUGAGACACGGUCCAAACUCCUACGGGAGGCAGCAGUGGAGAAUCUUGCACAAUGGGGGAAACCCUGAUGCAGCAACGCCGCGUGAAGGAAGAAGGCCCUUGGGUCGUAAACUUCUUUUCUAAGGGAAGAUAAUGACGGUACCUUAGGAACAAGUCCCGGCUAACUACGUGCCAGCAGCCGCGGUAAUACGUAGGGGGCGAGCGUUAUCCGGAAUUAUUGGGCGUAAAGAGUACGUAGGUGGUUUCCUAAGCAUGGGGUUUAAGGCAAUGGCUCAACUGUUGUUCGCCCUAUGAACUGGGUUACUUGAGUGCUGGAGGGGAAAGCGGAAUUCCUAGUGUAGCGGUGAAAUGCGUAGAUAUUAGGAGGAACACCAGUGGCGAAGGCGGCUUUCUGGACAGUAACUGACACUGAGGUACGAAAGUGUGGGGAGCAAACAGGAUUAGAUACCCUGGUAGUCCACACCGUAAACGAUGAGCACUAGGUGUCGGGUUCGCAAGAGCUCGGUGCCGCAGUUAAC